AAGGAGAUGAAUUUAACCUUUUC
rnacentral:snRNA from 1 species